rnacentral:rRNA from 1 species
GACGAACGCUGGCGGCGUGCUUAACACAUGCAAGUCGAACGAAGUGGCGAACGGGUGAAUAAUACGUGGGUAACCUGCCCUCCUUUUUGGGAUAAGCCUUGGAAACGGGGUCUAAUACCGAAUAAAGGGGGAUGGGCUCGCGGCCUAUUGGCUUGUUGGUGGGGUGAUGGCCUCCCAAGGCGGUGACGGGUAGCCGGCCUGAGAGGGUGAACUGCAACAGAGAGACUGAGAAACGGCCCAGAGUCCGACGGGAGGCAGCAGUGGGGGAUAUGGCAGAAUGGGCGAAAGACUGAUGCAGCGACGCCGCGUGGGGGAUGAAGGCUUUCGGGUUGUAAACCUCUGUCGCUAUCGAAGGGGUAGGUGGAGAAGAAGCGCCGGCUAACUACGUGCCAGCCGCCGCGGUAAUAC